CCCGGAGGCCGCGGCCCGGCCCCAGCCCCUCGCCCCUGGCCCGGAGCCGGCUGCGUGCUCCCCCUCCGCGCCCCUGCACCCUGCAGCGGAAUGUGGACGAAUGUGACCGUCUGUACUUCAAGGAGGUGCACGUUCCCAACAUCCCCCAAAGAAGAGGCAGAGAACCCGCGGGGCUGGGGCACAGAAAGUGCACUUGGAGUCACGUCAACUUUCACCCGUGCCUAAAGAACUUGGAGAAAAGCGCCCACGAUUCUCGUGGAGGGUUGGAAAAUUCCAGUAACAGGGCCAAGGAGGAUCGUCUUGAGUCAGCGCAUGGAAGGUUGGUUGCUUAAGCUCAGCUGCCCAGCUCAGAGGCUACCUCAUUCCCUCUGCUAUCAAACUAUGGGAAAAGGCACAAAGACAACUGGAUUUGAAAGUAACUGAUUUCACU